rnacentral:rRNA from 1 species
UACAGAGGGUGCGAGCGUUAAUCGGAAUUACUGGGCGUAAAGCGUGCGUAGACGGUUAUUUAAGUCAGAUGUGAAAGCCCCGGGCUCAACCUGGGAAUUGCAUUUGAGCCUGAAUAGCUAGGGUGCGGUAGAGGGAAGCGGAAUUUCCGGUGUAGCGGUGAAAUGCGUAGAUAUCGGAAGGAACAUCAGUGGCGAAAGCGGCUUCCUGGACCAGCACCGACGUUCAGGCACGAAAGCGUGGGGAGCAAACGGG